rnacentral:rRNA from 1 species
AUUGAACGCUGGCGGCAGGCUUAACACAUGCAAGUCGAGCGGGGAAGGGUAGCUUGCUACCUAACCUAGCGGCGGACGGGUGAGUAAUGCUUAGGAAUCUGCCAUUUAGUGGGGGACAACAUUCCGAAAGGAAUGCUAAUACCGCAUACGUCCUACGGGCGAAAGCAGGGGAGCUUCGGACCUUGCGCUAAAUGAUGAGCCUAAGUCGGAUUAGCUAGUUGGUGGGGUAAAGGCCUACCAAGGCGACGAUCUGUAGCGGGUCUGUGAGGAUGAUCCGCCACACUGGGACUGAGACACGGCCCAGACUCCUACGGGAGGCAGCAGUGGGGAAUAUUGGACAAUGGGCGGAAGCCUGAUCCAGCCAUGCCGCGUGUGUGAAGAAGGCCUUUUGGUUGUAAAGCACUUUAAGCGAGGAGGAGGCUACCUAGAUUAAUACUCUGGGAUAGUGGACGUUACUCGCAGAAUAAGCACCGGCUAACUCUGUGCCAGCCGCCGCCGUAACAC